rnacentral:rRNA from 1 species
UACCAGCACCCCGAGUGGUCGGGACGAUUAUUGGGACCUAAAGCAUCCGUAGCCGGUUCUGCAAGUCCCCCGUUAAAUCCAGCUGCUCAACAGAUGGGCCGCGGAGGAUACUACAGAGCUAGGAGGCAGGAGAGGCAAGCGGUACUCAGUGGGUAGGGGUAAAAUCCGUUGAUCCAUUGAAGACCACCAGUGGCGAAGGCGGCUUGCCAGAAUGCGCUCGACGGUGAGGGAGUGAAAGCUGGGGGAGCAAACCGG